CAGAAUGUAGCUUAACUAAAGCCCCUCGCUUACACCGAGUCUAUGCCCGUUAAUCACGGGCCAUCCUGA
rnacentral:tRNA from 1 species